UACCGAGUUAUUCAACUCAUCAACCCUGUGAACAUACCUAAACGUUGCUUCGGCGGGAAUAGACGGCCCCGUGAAAACGGGCCGCCCCCGCCAGAGGACCCUUAACUCUGUUUCUAUAAUGUUUCUUCUGAGUAAAACAAGCAAAUAAAUUAAAACUUUCAACAACGGAUCUCUUGGCUCUGGCAUCGAUGAAGAACGCAGCGAAAUGCGAUAAGUAAUGUGAAUUGCAGAAUUCAGUGAAUCAUCGAAUCUUUGAACGCACAUCGCGCCCGCCAGUAUUCUGGGGCCAUGCCUGUUCGAGCGUCAUUACAACCCUCAGGCCCCCGGGCCUGGCGUUGGGGAUCGGCGGAGCCUCUCUGCGGGCACACGCCGUCCCCCAAAUACAGUGGCGGUCCCGCCGCAGCUUCCAUCGCGUAGUAGCUAACACCUCGCGACUUGGGGAGCGGCGCGGCCACGCCGUAAAACACCCAACUCUUCUGAAGUUGACCUCGAAUCAGGUAGGAAUACCCGCUGAACUUAAGCAUAUCAAUAAGCGGAGGAAAAGAAACCAACAGGGAUUGCCCCAGUAACGGCGAGUGAAGCGGCAACAGCUCAAAUUUGAAAUCUGGUCUCGGGCCCGAGUUGUAAUUUGUAGAGGAUGCUUUUGGUGAGGUGCCUUCCGAGUUCCCUGGGAACGGGACGCCACAGAGGGUGAGAGCCCCGUCUGGUUGGACACCGAGCCUCUGUAAAAGCUCCUUCGACGAGUCGAGUAGUUUGGGGAAUGCUGCUCUAAAUGGGAGGUAUAUGUCUUCUAAAGCUA
rnacentral:rRNA from 1 species